UAGGGAAUAUUGCAAAAUGGGCGAAAGCCCGAUGCAGCAACGCCGCGUGGGCGAUGAAGGCCUUCGGGUCAUAAAGCCCUUUUUGAGGGGAUGAGGAAGGACAGUACCCUCAGAAUAAGCCUCGGCUAACUACGUGCCAGCAGCCGCGGUAAAACGUAGGAGGCGAGCGUUAUCCGGAUUUACUGGGCGUAAAGCGCGUGCAGGCGGAUUGGAGAGUUGGAUGUGAAAGCUCCCGGCUUAACUGGGAGAGGUCGUUCAAUACUUCCAGUCUUGAGUGCAGUAGAGGGAAGUGGAAUUCCGGGUGUAGUGGUGAAAUGCGUAGAUAUCCGGAGGAACACCAGUGGCGAAAGCGGCUUCCUGGACUGUAACUGACGCUCAGACGCGAAAGCUAGGGUAGCAAACG
rnacentral:rRNA from 1 species